rnacentral:rRNA from 1 species
AUGGUCAAUCGCCCGUGCGCCAAGCUUGCGUUCAAGUUCUUCGGGCCCUACAAGAUCAGCGAGAAGAUUGGCUCGCUCGCGUACAAGCUCUACUUGCCACCAGAGAGCCAGAUCCACCCUGUCUUCCACGUCUCACAAUUGAAGCCCUUCACACCUGACUUCACACCGGUGUUCAGCGAACUACCCAAGGUGCCCGACCUCUCCACCACCGGCCUCUCUCCCACUCGCAUCCUGGACCGGUGCAUGAUGAAGCUGGGGAACACGCCGAUGGUACAGAUCAAGGUUCAAUGGGGAGCAAGGGACUCCGCACCAACGACGUGGGAGAAUUACGACGUUCUUCGUCAGCGCUUUCCAUCUGCGGAGCUCUGGGAGGAAGAAGACGCUGGCGACGAUGUUGAAGACGAAGAUGACGACGCACAGUCUUAA